rnacentral:rRNA from 1 species
UGGGGAAUAUUGGACAAUGGGCGGAAGCCUGAUCCAGCAACGCCGCGUGAGGGAUGACGGCCUUCGGGUUGUAAACCUCUUUCGCCUGUGACGAAGCGCAAGUGACGGUAACAGGUAAAGAAGCACCGGCCAACUACGUGCCAGCAGCCGCGGUAAUACGUAGGGUGCGAGCGUUGUCCGGAAUUAUUGGGCGUAAAGGGCUCGUAGGCGGUUUGUCGCGUCGGGAGUGAAAACCAGGUGCUUAACACCUGGCUUGCUUUCGAUACGGGCAGACUAGAGGUAUUCAGGGGAGAACGGAAUUCCUGGUGUAGCGGUGAAAUGCGCAGAUAUCAGGAGGAACACCGGUGGCGAAGGCGGUUCUCUGGGAAUGACCUGACGCUGAGGAGCGAAAGUGUGGGGA